rnacentral:lncRNA from 1 species
CUCACUCGGCCAUCCCUGACCACAGCCACUAUACCUACGGCAGAGUAAGGGAAAUCACUAUCACACACAAGGCAACCGACCAAAUCAGAAGAAGACAAGUUGUAACUACAGACACAUUAAUAUGGUGAAUAAACUAAUACGAACUACGAUGGCAGCAAUUUAACUAACACAACAAAGGAAAACUGGAAAACGGGAGGUACCAACUCCCGCAAGUAGAACCUUGGAAUUGUCUUGGUAUAUACGACGAUGUUGCGGCCACCUAGCACGUUCGCGUCCAACUCCUGCCGCCCCUUGUUGACACUCGCCCGGGUUGUUCUUCAAUGUUUGCACACGCACGUCCCUUUCACCGCUAAUAGCCACAUGCCCCAACCUGAAAUACAUACAAAACACCAACAAAGGGGGAGGGGUUGUCACCGCUACCACUGGUGAGGCCCCACCCGUAGCAAAGGAGCACAAAAAAGGAUGAAAUAAAACCUUAAGUUGGUUUGAAAAAAACAGUCAAUUCAAAAAUAAUCACAAGAAAAAUGACUGGAUCUGAACACUGAUCCGUAAAGAAUGUAAAAUUAAACUUGACACUUUACGUAUCUUUCUAUAAUUUCAAAAUAAAAGCUAGUGAAAGAGAAAAAUGGCUAGAGGAAGAAUAAGAUAUGAGAGAACGGGAAAUCUGUAUCCAUAAGGAAUGUAAAAUUAAAAAUAUAAUAAUUUUAUUUUACAAGUUAUUUAAGAACUUUAGAAGAUGAAGAACAACAAUGUUUCUGAAUCUUUUCUGUUUUACAAUCAAAUAAAAUUUAUCGGGUAACUACAAAAUAGAAACCAAAUAUACUAUUAAAAAAACACACACACAGGGAAUGUAAUAUAUUAAUUCAGCAGUAAGAAAAUAGAGACUAUGACCAAUUAAACUCUGUUACCUGGCAGUGUCCCUGAAGAAAAACUUGAACUUGGAGCAGAGCAACGAGAUUUUCAGACUCCGAUAGUGAACCAGAUCUAGGGUUUCAGCAAGAGAGAGAGCCCUAUAGAGACAUGCACAAUAUUAAUACUAGCAAUAGUCCAAUUUAUGAUUAUGA